rnacentral:rRNA from 1 species
AUAAGCGGAGGAAAAGAAACUAACAAGGAUUCCCCUAGUAACGGCGAGUGAAGCGGGAUGAGCUCAAAUUUAAAAUCUUGCAGCCUCAGGUUGUACGAGUUGUAGUCUAGAGAAUCGUUUUCCGCGUUGGCCUGUGUACAAGUCCCUUGGAACAGGGCGUCAUAGAGGGUGAGAAUCCCGUCCUUGACACAGAUUACCAAUGCUUUGUGAUGCGAUCUCAAAGAGUCGAGUUGUUUGGGAAUGCAGCUCAAAAUGGGUGGUAAAUUCCAUCUAAAGCUAAAUAUUGGCGAGAGACCGAUAGCGAACAAGUACCGUGAGGGAAAGAUGAAAAGCACUUUGGAAAGAGAGUUAAACAGUACGUGAAAUUGUUAAAAGGGAAACGAUUGAAGUCAGUCAUGCUCUCCGAGACUCAGCCGAUUCUGUCGGUGUACUUCUCGGUUGGCAGGCCAGCAUCAGUUUCGAUCUGUGGAAAAGGUUGGAGGGAAUGUG